rnacentral:lncRNA from 1 species
CCCUAGUUUCCCUCGACAGAUCGCGGCCCUCGAUGCCUUAAGAACUAGCUCUCUUUUUGGCCCUUCCUCUGUUUGAUUUUAUGCAUAUAUGGUGACAAAAAUUUCAAGAAGAUUGGAAGAAAGGGAAGAUUACUCGAAGUAGGGCAAGGGGCCCCACCAGGGAUGGGGAAAAGGCGCCUGAUGUAAUAACGAGUUUUUUGAAGGUGUGUUUGUAUUUUUGCCGCCAUUAACGGGAUAAACCAUUCCACAAUAAAUUAUUUUUUGCUGUUUAUUUGAAGAAAUAAAUAAUGAUAUCAAUUUUUAUAAUCACUCAAAUUUUACUAAAGGUAAAAAUUAUCUUUCUUAUAUGUUUAAGG